GUAUUGCUGAAGAGUUUCAAAACUAGGACGAAACAGCUGUCCAGUAC
rnacentral:hammerhead_ribozyme from 1 species